UGGGGAAUAUUGCACAAUGGGCGCAAGCCUGAUGCAGCCAUGCCGCGUGUAUGAAGAAGGCCUUCGGGUUGUAAAGUACUUUCAGCGGGGAGGAAGGGAGUAAAGUUAAUACCUUUGCUCAUUGACGUUACCCGCAGAAGAAGCACCGGCUAACUCCGUGCCAGCAGCCGCGGUAAUACGGAGGGUGCAAGCGUUAAUCGGAAUUACUGGGCGUAAAGCGCACGCAGGCGGUUUGUUAAGUCAGAUGUGAAAUCCCCGGGCUCAACCUGGGAACUGCAUCUGAUACUGGCAAGCUUGAGUCUCGUAGAGGGGGGUAGAAUUCCAGGUGUAGCGGUGAAAUGCGUAGAGAUCUGGAGGAAUACCGGUGGCGAAAGCGGCCCCCUGGACGAAGACUGACGCUCAGGUGCGAAAGCGUGGGGAGCAAACGGG
rnacentral:rRNA from 1 species